rnacentral:pre_miRNA from 1 species
AGAGGGAUAGCUGGGUCAUAUGGUGGUUCCAUCCUUAGUUUUUAAAGAAAUCUCCAAAUUGUUUUCCAGAGUGGUUGUACCAGUCUGUAGUACCACCAACAAU